rnacentral:tRNA from 2 species
GGGCUCGUGGUCUAGCUGGUCAUGACGUCGCCUUCACACGGCGGAGGUCCUGAGUUCGAAUCUCAGCGGGCCCA